AACUUUUCACUUCUUUUAUUUGCUAAAAUAGUCGCAUCCAUAUACGUGAAAAGAUUUGACCAUAAUGCAUUCAUUCAUUGUGGCUCUUGCCAUCUCGUGGCAUCCAGGAUCCUGGCUGAAAGGUUUUACCAGUGCUGCUGGGAGCCACUGAGGGUUUUUCCUUUCCGAAGUAUGGAGCAGAGGCACGGCCUUUAAUUUGAGUUUGAACUGGUGGAGGCAGGAGUUCCUCACUGGUCUCUUUACUAAGGAGUUUUUCUUUUUCAUAAAAAUCUUGGCUUUUUAUUUUGAUUUCUUCUCUGUGUUUUUCAUUCUUUAGUAUUUCCUCCAUAGUAGGUGGAGUCUUUCUUGUUCUUCUAAUCCAAGCUUCCCAUUCUUUCUUGUUCUGCAGGAUGUAGUAGUAUUUGUUCCCGAAUUGGUCCGUGCCCACGUGCUCCUUCACUUCCCUUGACAGCGAUCUCCACAAGGCGCGGAACAAAUCCUGAGACCAACCCAUGCCGUCCACUCAGUUUCCAGCGCUGCCAGCAGUGGGACCCGCAGUAGGGGUAAUGCUCCAGCCGCCGACCCAGCCCACCGAGGCGAGAAGUCAG
rnacentral:lncRNA from 1 species